rnacentral:rRNA from 1 species
AAUCGAAGCAGUGAACUUAAGCCCCAGUAAACGGCGGCCGUAACUAUAACGGUCCUAAGGUAGCGAAAUUCCUUGUCGGGUAAGUUCCGACCCGCACGAAAGGCGUAACGAUUUGGGCACUGUCUCAACAACAGACUCGGUGAAAUUGUAAUUCCGGUGAAGAUGCCGGAUACCUGCGACAGGACGGAAAGACCCCAUGGAGCUUUACUGUAGCUUGACAUUGGGUCUUGGUACUACAUGUACAGGAGAGGUGGGAGGCUUUGAAACCAGGACGCCAGUUUUGGCGGAGCCAUCCUUGGGAUACCACCCUUGUAGUACUGGGACUCUAACCAUAGGCCAUGAAUCUGGUCUUGGGACACUGUCAGGUGGGCAGGUUGACUGGGGCGGUCGCCUCCCAA